GUUCAAUGAUACAACAAAUCCUUCUCCAUAUAACUCUUUCCAUCUCUCUACUCCUUCCGCUCUCUCCCUUCUUUCUGGAUAUUCUCUCUCUGUUCUGCUCCUUCCUCUGUUCUUCUUCCCUUUAUUUCUUCUUCUUCUACAGGUUUGGGUCUUAGGAACUCUGUUACGUAACAAUUUAGAAGCUAAUCAUGAAAAUUCAAGCAAUAUGGUUCAAUGUGACCCCCCGACCAAUU
rnacentral:misc_RNA from 1 species